AAUAUGUCUAUCCCGUUGCAACGGGAUACCGUUUUGCAGCAGCCCUCUUUUAUUUAUAAUUUUUUAUGAUUAGUAUUUUUAUUGUUAUUAGAUGAUAAGACAUAAAUAGUCCUUUAUGAUGCGUGACUUGUGUUUUUUUAAUUUUUUCUAAAAAAUUUUUAAAUAAGAUGGACGAUCAAACUUGGAAACGAAAACUCAUGGCUACGUUUAAA
rnacentral:pre_miRNA from 1 species